UACGUAGGGAGCAAGCGUUGUCCGGAAUCAUUGGGCGUAAAGCGCGCGUAGGUGGCUUCGUAAGUCCGUUGUGAAAGUCAAAGGCUCAACCUUUGAAAGCCGAUGGAUACUGUGAAGCUAGAGUACGGAAGAGGCGAGUGGAAUUCCUGGUGUAGCGGUGGAAUGCGCAGAUAUCAGGAGGAACACCAAUAGCGAAGGCAGCUCGCUGGGACGGUACUGACGCUGAGACGCGAAAGCGUGGGGAGCAAACAGG
rnacentral:rRNA from 1 species